AUACGAAGGUCCCGAGCGUUAUUCGGAAUCACUGGGCGUAAAGAGUAUGUAGGCGGUUUGGUAAGUCAGGUGUGAAAUCUCGGAGCUCAACUUCGGAACUGCAUCCGAUACUGCCAGACUAGAGUAAUGGAGAGGCAGGUGGAAUUCUCGGUGUAGCAGUGAAAUGCGUGGAUAUCGAGAGGAAGACCAAUGGCGAAGGCAGCCUGCUGGACAUUUACUGACGCUGAGAUACGAAGGCUAGGGGAGCGAAAGGGAUUAGAAACCCCAGUAGUCC
rnacentral:rRNA from 1 species